GAUGAACGCUAGCGGGAGGCCUAACACAUGCAAGCCGAGCGGUAUUGUUUCUUCGGAAAUGAGAGAGCGGCGUACGGGUGCGGAACACGUGUGCAACCUACCUUUAUCUGGGGGAUAGCCUUUCGAAAGGAAGAUUAAUACUCCAUAAUAUAUUGAACGGCAUCGUUUAAUAUUGAAAGCUCCGGCGGAUAGAGAUGGGCACGCGCAAGAUUAGCUAGUUGGUGAGGUAACGGCUCACCAAGGCAAUGAUCUUUAGGGGCCUGAGAGGGUGAUCCCCCACACUGGUACUGAGACACGGACCAGACUCCUACGGGAGGCAGCAGUGAGGAAUAUUGGUCAAUGGGUGCAAGCCUGAACCAGCCAUCCCGCGUGAAGGACGACUGCCCUAUGGGUUGUAAACUUCUUUUGUAUAGGGAUAAACCUUUCCACGUGUGGAAAGCUGAAGGUACUAUACGAAUAAGCACCGGCUAACUCCGUGCCAGCAGCCGCGGUAAAGGUAAGUACACG
rnacentral:rRNA from 1 species